rnacentral:tRNA from 1 species
GAGGGUGUAGCUCAGUGGCAGAGUGCAUGUUUAGCACGCACGAGGUUCUGGGUUUGAUUCCCGGUACCUCCA